CCACCCGCGAGUGGGCGUGACCCAUUGGUUCCCUUGCGCAGCAUCUUUGGAGAAUUAAGCUUUCCCCUCCUCUCUUGCCAGCCGUUGUUCCUAAUCUUGUCUUUUUUAAGGGAGGAAAGCAGGAGAACUCAUGACACUUUGUGUCACAGGAUAUCAAGUUGGUGGACAGAGGGUUUGCUGAACUCUCCGUCCCUCCUCAGGGUCCCUAGGAGAAUUUUUGAAGAAGUAAUCGGCAGCAAGGAGACGGGGGCAAUAGAGAGUCUCAGACUCGCAGGGACCCAUGUUCGUCCCCAGCGCCACUACUUUCAAACCGUUAUCCCUCAGAGCUGUUUCCUCACCUCCACAACUCUCCCGGGUUCGAUGACACUAUAUAUCCCACCAGUUCAUCUCGGUACAGGCCAAAAGCACCUGUGAGCACUACUGCAAGCCAGAGCUUGUCA
rnacentral:lncRNA from 1 species